AAGCGGUGGAGCAUGUGGUUUAAUUCGAUGAUACGCGAGGAACCUUACCUGGGCUCAAAUGUAUGUUGACGUAUUUCUGAAAGGGAUACUUCUUCGGACAAUAUACAAGGUGCUGCAUGGUUGUCGUCAGCUCGUGCCGUGAGGUGUCGGGUUAAGUCCCAUAAACGAGCGCAACCCCUACCUUUAGUUGCCAUCAGGUAAUGCUGGGGACUCUAAAGGAACUGCCUACGCAAGUAGUGAGGAAGGCGGGGAUGACGUCAAAUCAGCACGGCCCUUACGUCCAGGGCUACACACGUGCUACAAUGGCCGAUACAGAGGGCAGCUACCUGGUGACAGGAUGCAAAUCUCCAAAGUCGGUCUCAGUUCGGAUCGGAGUCUGCAACCCGACUCCGUGAAGUUGGAUUCGCUAGUAAUCGCGCAUCAGCCAUGGCGCGGUGAAUACGUUCCCGGGCCUU
rnacentral:rRNA from 1 species